rnacentral:rRNA from 1 species
UGGGGAAUUUUGCACAAUGGAGGAAACUCUGAUGCAGCGACGCCGCGUGAGUGAUGAAGAUCUUCGGAUUGUAAAACUCUGUCCUUAGUGAAGAUAAUGACAGUAACUAAGAAGCAAGCCCUGGCUAAAUACGUGCCAGCAGCCGCGGUAAUACGUAUGGGGCAAGCGUUGUCCGGAAUUAUUGGGCGUAAAGGGUACGUAGGCGGUUUAAUAAGUCCUAAUUAAAAGUCUAUGGCUCAACCAUAGUAUGGUUAGGAAACUGUUGAACUUGAGUAGAUGAGGGGAAAGUGGAAUUCCAUGUGUAGCGGUGAAAUGCGUAGAUAUAUGGAGGAACACCAAUGGCGAAGGCAACUUUCUGGAAUCAAACUGACGCUGAGGUACGAAGGCGUGGGGAGCAAACAGG